rnacentral:rRNA from 1 species
UACGUAGGGUGCGAGCGUUGUCCGGAAUUAUUGGGCGUAAAGGGCUCGUAGGCGGUCUGUCGCGUCGGGAGUGAAAACUCAGGGCUUAACCCUGAGCCUGCUUCCGAUACGGGCAGACUAGAGGUAUGCAGGGGAGAGCGGAAUUCCUGGUGUAGCGGUGAAAUGCGUAGAGAUCGGAAGGAACACCAGUGGCGAAGGCGACUGUCUGGACAGAUACUGACGCUGAGGCGCGAAAGCGUGGGGAGCAAACAGG